UCGAGGAUCAUUCGCAAUGAGCGAAAGCUUGACGAUGCGACGCCGUGUGAGCGAUGAAGGCCUUCGGGUUGUAAAGCUCUUUCGCCUGGGAACAAGAGAGCAUUGUGAAUAACAGUGUGAUUUGAGUGUACCAGGUAAAGAAGCACCGGCUAACUACGUGCCAGCAGCUGCGGUAAUACGUAGGGUGCAAGCAUUAAUCGGAAUUAUUGGGCGUAAAGGGCGCGUAGGCGGUAAGGGAAGUCAGAUGUGAAAUUUCGGGGCUCAACCUCGGAGCUGCAUAUGAAACUCCCAUACUAGAGGGUUGGCGGAGAAAAUGGAAUUCCACGUGUAGCGGUGAAAUGCGUAGAUAUGUGGAAGAACACCGGUGGCGAAAGCGAUUUUCUAGCUGAUACCAGACGCUGAGGCGCGAGAGCAAGGGGAGCAAACAGGAUUAGAUACCCCCGUAGUCC
rnacentral:rRNA from 1 species